rnacentral:rRNA from 1 species
GAUAAACGCUGGCGGCGCACAUAAGACAUGCAAGUCGAACGGACUUAACCAUUAGUUUACUAUUGGAGCGGUUAGUGGCGGACUGGUGAGUAACACGUAAGCAAUCUGCCUAUCAGAGGGGAACAACAGUUAGAAAUGACUGCUAAUACCGCAUAUGCCUAAGUACCACAUGGUACAAUAGGGAAAGGAGCAAUCCGCUGAUAGAUGAGCUUGCGUCUGAUUAGAUAGUUGGUGGGGUAACGGCCUACCAAGUCGACGAUCAGUAGCCGGACUGAGAGGUUGAACGGCCACAUUGGGACUGAGAUACGGCCCAG